rnacentral:rRNA from 1 species
AACGGCCAUACCAUGCUGAAUAUACAGGUUCUCGUUUAGAUCACCGAAGUCAAGCAUCAUUGGGCGCGGUCAGUACUUGGGUGGGUACCGCCUGGGAACACCGCGUGCCGUAG